AUGAGCCACCCUCUGUGCAGGGUUUUGGGGCCACCUCCAGGCUGCAGGGACAGGGGUCACUCACCACCCCUCAGUUUUCUCUCUGCUUUGGUGUCCUGGUUUCAGACUGCCUGCUCCCUGUUCAGACCGGAGUGCCCUGGCCCCUCCCCAGUCUGAGUCUUCUUGCUCUGAGGGCUGGGCCGAGGCUUGUCCUUGGUUCCUGCAGGGCUGGCCCCGGCUCAGGCGAGUAGGGUGUCACCACCUCACUGGCCUUGCUGGAGGCACAGGGCUCUGCUGACCUGCAUCCAUCCAUGAGGCCCGCGGGGAUGGGAGGGGAGGAGGGUGGCCUGUCGUUUCCCUCAGAGGGGGCAGGUGGCCUGGAGACAGAGGGGCUCAGGACCUGGGAGCCUCGUGGGUGGGGCAAAUGCUCCGCGGCCUGGAGUGGCUCUGCGGGGGCAUCGGUGGGAACCCUGCUCAGGCUUUCUCUCUGGCUGCCAGUUGUGUCUGAAAGACUCUUGGAAUCUGAGAACCCUGAGUUGCAGCGCCCUCGGGCCUGGGCCACACGCAGGCCCUGGUGGGACCACCCAGCCUGGUGGUGUCCCCGGAUAGCGUUGUUCACCCAGAGCCUUACUUGGGAGCCUCACUGAAUGUCUGCUCUGGUUGAAGGUGGUGGGGGCUCAGCCCCGUGCGGCCCGGCGCUCCUCCCACAGGCUCUGCCCCCGGGCUCUGGUGGUGUGGGGACCCUCUCAGGUUGAACUCGCCUCUUUUGCACUGGAAGGCCCUCCCUUUGGCCUGAGUACUUUUCCUGUUCAUGCCUCAGUCCCGUGGACCCAGCCUUUGUCAGUCGCAGGUGCCUGAACAGGGGAUGGAUGGGGGGAUACAGGAGGGGGGUCUUGUCUUCCCGGGAGCAGUCUAGGAGUGAUGCGGGGGAGUGGGUGCCUUCUCCGAAGUCUUACCCCGCCUGGAGCAGGGGCUUCCUCACUGGGGAAGGGAGCUGCCUAGGAGGUUGGACUGGGAGGCAGUGGCUCAGAGAGGCAGUUUUCCAGUCUCGGUGGGGAAGAAAGUGUCCAUUCUUUUCCUUCCUGGAUCUCCCAGCCAGAGCUGAGCUGAGGCACCUGGGUGGAGCCUGCAGCUGAGUCUGUGCCCGAGACAGAGGCUGUCAGAGAUCCCACAAGCCUCUCCUUCCUGUCCCCCUCCACCCCUGCCUCCUUCCUGCCCCCCUCCACCCCUGCCUUUCAGCGUCGUGGAUCCCCAGAGGUGGCCCCCUGCCCAAUCCACCAUCCCGAGGCAGAGUGUUGAGCCUCACACCUGUACCGGGUCCCUGGCCAGCUGGGCCCCUCCCAGGCACUGCCAGGAAGCCACAGCCGCCCCUGGGGGGUGUGGUGGAAACGGCAGGAGGGUGCAGGCACUCUCGGGGCCCCAGUGGUGGGAGCGUGAAAGACCCAACGCCAACACCUGGUGCCUUCUGCAGCCAGCGCCCACCCAUCUGUGCCCGGACCCUUGGGAAUGCCCACGGCUCCAGAGGAAGAAGCCCAGGGACGGGCCUCCAUGAUAGGGGGUCGGCUUCUUCUUGGGAACUUGGUCGUUUCCGGCACUGGCUAGCUGGCUGGAUGUAAAGCACUGAAGCCCCCCCCGCCGGGCUGCCAACCCCUGAAAGCAGAACCCGGCCUCCCUGGCCCCAGCAGCCUUACCCACCGCUCCACGUGUCCUGGGCUCUUCCUGCCCCUUUCUCAUCGGCCUUGUGGGUGUGCAGACAGUGCUGUUGGUUUGAAAAGGUGAUGCGUGGGGAGUGUGGCUCAUCACUGAGUAGAGGUAGAGUUUCUAUUUAACCAGACCUGUAUAGUACUAUUACCAAUCCGGUUCAAUUAAGGUGAUUUUUUGGUAAUUAUUAUUUUUGGUGGGACAAUCUUUAAUUUUCUAAAGAUAGCACUAACAUCAGCUCAUUAGCCACCUGUGCCUGUCCCCGCCUUGGCCCGGCUGGAUGAAGCAGCUUCCCAGCAGGGCCCCCCCUUCCCAGCGGCUGCUUCCUGGGCCCCCGGGGCACUCCGGCACCUUCAGGCAGGCGCCUCAGCUGGUCACCUUCUGGCUUUGCCGUUCAGAUGGCGCUCCUAGGCUGAGGAGUGAAGAUGCCACAGAGCUGGGCUCCCCUAGGCUGCGUCGGGCACGCUUGGAAGCUGGCCUGCCGGGACCUUCCACCCUGGGGCCUGUGUCAACCACUGGCCCUCCACAUCCCGGAAGCAUACGACCUCUGGGAAAGACAGCCCUGACCUUCAGUUUUCCAAGCACGGUGUUCCCCAAGAAUUCUGGGCUGGUGGCCUGGUGGCAGUGCUGGAGGUGGCCCCCAGCCCCUCCCCAUGGGGCACCCAGGAGGGUCCUGCCAGAAUGUGCAGCCUGUGGGUAGUCGGCUGGUGUGUCUGUCGUGGAGUUGGGGUGCGUGACCUGGUGCCCGUGCACGCGGGUGUGUGGUGUAAACAUGUAUGUGCUGUACAGAGAGAUGCGUGUGGAGAGAGCCGCACGCGAGUGCCACGCAGGAGAGGCGGAGCGGUUACCAGUGUUUUGUGUUUAUUUUUAAUCAAGACAUUUCCCCUGUUUUCCUAUAAAUUUGCUUCGUGUAAGCAAGUACAUAAGGACCCUCCUGUGGUGAAAUCCGGGUUCGAAUGAAUAUCUCAAGGCAGGAGAUGCAUCUAUUUUAAGAUGCUUUGGAGCAGACACCUUUAGCUGUUCCCAAUCCUUAGCAAUGCCUUAGCUGGGACGCAUAGCUAAUACUUUAGAGAGGAUGACAGAUCCAUAAAGAGAGUAAAGAGAAGAGAAAAUGUCUAAAGCAUCUGGAAAGGUAAAAAAAAAAAAAAAAUCUAUUUUUGUACAAAUGUAAUUUUAUCCCUCAUGUAUACUUGGAUAUGGCGGGGGGAGGGCUGGGACUGUUUUGUUUCUGCUUCUAGAGAUUGAGGUGAAAGCUUCGUGUGAGAAACGCCAGGACGGACGAUGGCAGAGGAGAGGGCUCCUGUGACGACGGCGAGGCUUGGGAGGAAACUGCCGCAAUAGGGGUGUCUUCCUUGGGGGCAGGAGGGUGGGCCUGAGGCUUUCAAGGGUUUUCUUCCCCUUUCGAGUAAUUUUUAAAGCCUCACUCUGUUGCGUCCUGUUGCCGGCCUUCCUGUGACUGUGACUGAAACGCUUCCCCGUACGAUUGUCUCUGAAACAUCGCGGCCGCAGGUGCCAGGGUUUGAUGGACAGUGACAUUAGAAUUGUCGAAAAGAAACACGCAAAGGAAGAAACGUGAGAGGAGAAACAAAAUAUGAGCGUUUAAAAUACAUCGCCAUUCAGUUCG